UAGGGAAUCUUCCGCAAUGGACGAAAGUCUGACGGAGCAACGCCGCGUGAGUGAAGAAGGCUUUCGGUUCGUAAAACUCUGUUGUUAGGGAAGAAAAAAUGUAUAGUAACUAUAUACAAAAGAGACGGUACCUAACCAGAAAGCCACGGCUAACUACGUGCCAGCAGCCGCGGUAAUACGUAGGUGGCAAGCGUUGUCCGGAAUUAUUGGGCGUAAAGCGCGCGCAGGUGGUUUAGAAAGUCUGAUGUGAAAGCCCACGGCUCAACCGUGGAAGGUCAUUGGAAACUAAUAAACUUGAGUGCAGAAGAGAAAAGUGGAAUUCCUAGUGUAGCGGUGAAAUGCGUAGAGAUUAGGAGGAACACCGGUGGCGAAAGCGGCUUUUUGGCCUGCAACUGACACUGAGGCGCGAAAGCGUGGGGAGCAAACAGG
rnacentral:rRNA from 1 species